rnacentral:rRNA from 1 species
UACGAAGGGGGCUAGCGUUGCUCGGAAUCACUGGGCGUAAAGCGCACGUAGGCGGCUUUCUAAGUCAGGGGUGAAAUCCUGGAGCUCAACUCCAGAACUGCCUUUGAUACUGGCGAUCUUGAGUCCGGGAGAGGUGAGUGGAACUGCGGAGUGUAGAGGUGAAAUUCGUAGAUAUUACGCAAGAACACCAGUGGCGAAGGCGGCUCACUGGCCCGGUACUGACGCUGAGGUGCGAAAGCGUGGGGAGCAAACAGGGAUUAAGAAACCCUGAGA